rnacentral:lncRNA from 1 species
AUUUUUAAAAAUUCGAACCCGAACUCGAAAACCAUAUUAAAACCCGUACUCGGACCUGAAUCCGGCGGGUUUUAAAAAUCCAUACCCAUAUCCGUACCCGACCAAAAACCCGAAACCCGAACCCGGACUCGGACCCGGCCGGUUUUAAAAAUCCAUAUCAUUGAAUAAAGAUCUAAGGAAUAAAAAUUAUUAAAUAUUUUAUAUAUUAUAUUAAUAAAUAAAAAUAAAGUAUGUAUAUAUAUAAUUUAUUCGGUUCGAGUUCGGGUUCGGAUCGGGUAAAUACAAAAUCCGUAUCUGUAUCCAUAUCCGUCGGGUUUAUAUUUUCUAUACCCAUAACCGAAUCCAUACCUGUUUAGCUCGGAUAAACCCGCUCCGUUCGGGUUCGGAUUCGGAUAAUAUUUCGGGUAUCUAUACCCAUUGACAUCCCUAUACAUGAGUAAGGUAACUGUGGAAGAAUAUAAAGUUUCUAUUCUACUGAUUAGCUUUGAGUAACACUGAAGAAAAGGUGUGAGAAAAUCAGAUAAGAUGAUUCGGACAUGUUUAAUGUAAUGAUUGAGAAUAUGUCUGAAGUUUUUGUUGAAAAGUAGAAAUGGUAAGUGAAGUUAUAAGACUUCUUGGUUUCGGUCAAUGUCGAGGAGAAAGGAUAAGGCAGUGAGUAUUAAAUUUUUUCAUUCCAAUUAUACAGUAGAACAAAUGAAAGAUCAAGAGCAACAAUUGAAAAAGCAAUUUAAAGUUGUGAAAAGAUUACUAGAGAUGAGUGGCUUUGGUUGGGACGGAGAUAAAAAAAUGGUUUCUGCUUACUGUUUCACUACUAUGUUGGAAACGCUCAUGUACGGUAUAAUUACUUGUAUUUUUAAACAAGAUAAAUAAAAACAUGACUACCUGCCCUUCCACGUUG